UUGGCGGACGGGUGAGUAACGCGUGGAUAACCUGCCGUAUACAGGGGGAUAACACCUAGAAAUAGGUGCUAAUACCGCAUAAGCGCACGGUUCCGCAUGGAACAGUGUGAAAAACUCCGGUGGUAUACGAUGGAUCCGCGUCUGAUUAGCCAGUUGGUGGGGUAACGGCCCACCAAAGCGACGAUCAGUAGCCGGCCUGAGAGGGUGAACGGCCACAUUGGGACUGAGACACGGCCCAAACUCCUACGGAAGGCAGCAG
rnacentral:rRNA from 1 species